rnacentral:lncRNA from 1 species
ACAGAAUUAAUCAACCUGCCAACUUCACCAAAGCUCAGAAUUCAAAUUAUAAACCAAAUCGGAUUCAACUACAUACCAAUACAGCCCAGGUUAUAAAUUACACACUAAAGUAAACUAAAACUGAAUUACAAGCUCACGUCAGAGUUAAAAUGCUAGCAAUAAACCCAAAACAGAAUACCAUCUACUGAUCAAUAAAUCAUUUAUUGUAGUCAACAAUCUAACCUGAAUAAAGGCGGCUGCUUUAUCGAACAAGAGAGCGCAUAGAGACGUAAACUUUGGUAUAUUGUUAUACUGUGUGCAUACUGAUUGUUACAUUAACAAAGAAAGAGUCAAAGUGACAUUCACAGGGACCGGCCAGAAAUAUUAUAUUGAUCGAGUGCUGGAAAUCAAUCAAUUAUUGACCAUUUUAUAGAAAUUUCUAUUUC